rnacentral:rRNA from 1 species
DGGGCUUGACAUACUGGUGACCUCCAUGGAAACAUGGACUUCUUCGGGACAGCGAAUACAGGUGGUGCAUGGCUGUCGUCAGCUCGUGUCGDGAAAAARUKRRKUUGAGWMCCGCAACGAGCGCAACCCCCCGUCCUAUGUUGCCAGCAUUHCAGUUGGGGACUCAUAGGAGAHHHGCCGGUGACAAACCGGAGGAAGGUGGGGAUGACGUCAAGUCAUCAUGCCCCUUAUGUCCAGGGCUUCACACGUGCUACAUUGGCGCAUACAGAGGGCUGCGAUACCGCGAGUGGAGCGAAUCCCAAAAGUGCGUCUCRUUCGAUGAAGCUGAACUCGCUCAUG